rnacentral:lncRNA from 1 species
GUCUUGCUGUCAAAUAAAACAUUUACAGACUGCUGUAAAUCUUUCCAUCGAUCAGCAAUCUUCGACCCUUCAAGUUUGCUGAUAUGAGCCUUUCCCAAUGCAUCGUUUGACUGUACCACCUUGCCUAGUAACACCGUUUGUGGAUUCUCCAUCACCUAAUCACCUGCCACGGCAGCAGGACGAAAUUUCGUAGGGGGUACAAGCAACGCCUUUAUAAAGAACAUCGAAUAGUUACUUUUGACAGAUCCGUUUAACUGCUGCAUAUCACAUAUAAAUGAACAAAGACCCGCUUCGUUUUCCCACAGAUCUUUAAUUAUACUUA